UAGGGAAUCUUCCGCAAUGGGCGAAAGCCUGACGGAGCAACGCCGCGUGAGUGAUGAAGGUCUUCGGAUCGUAAAACUCUGUUAUUAGGGAAGAACAAAUGUGUAAGUAACUAUGCACGUCUCGACGGUACCUAAUCAGAAAGCCACGGCUAACUACGUGCCAGCAGCCGCGGUAAUACGUAGGUGGCAAGCGUUAUCCGGAAUUAUUGGGCGUAAAGCGCGCGUAGGCGGUUUUUUAAGUCUGAUGUGAAAGCCCACGGCUCAACCGUGGAGGGUCAUUGGAAACUGGAAAACUUGAGUGCAGAGGAGGAAAGUGGAAUUCCAUGUGUAGCGGUGAAAUGCGCAGAGAUAUGGAGGAACACCGGUGGCGAAGGCGACUUUCUGGUCUGUAACUGACGCUGAUGUGCGAAAGCGUGGGGAUCAAACAGG
rnacentral:rRNA from 1 species